GUUUUUAUGUGGCUUAUUCUGCUUGGGUGCAUUAGUUUCAAAUGGCUUUCUUUUCUUUAAUAUUUGAAUGCUGUGAAUCAUUCCACUCUUCAAAAUUGCGUUAGCUGAUUUUGAGCUAAGUAUUGAACCGAUUAUUCCUGGACUUUGCUAUUGUGAUACAGCAAUACCUUUCAAUAAACUGCAUUGAGUUUAUUUUGAUAGCCAAGAUGGUUUUGAAUAGUUGGCUGGGUUGAAGUAGUGAUGGUUGUGUUGUUGAUCUUAUGGAAAUGUUUAUAAAUGGUGUUGGUUCUAUGUGGGAAGUAAUGAGUUCUACUUCUUAGAUGGCAUGGAAGCCACAUCAAACUUGGCAUCUAUGUUAGCAGAUGAGUAAGGCAUUUCAGAAAAUUUAGCUAGCAGCCAUAUCAUGAAAGUGUACCAAAAACACAUAUUACAAUACUUAAAAACAAAUCAGGGAUAUCUUCAAAAAAAAUCAGGAAUCUAUUGGGAUCCAUCAAUUAUGUCACUGCAUAAUUUAAUUUUGGUAAUCAUGCAUCAAGUAUUGUGAAUACUUGUGUAUCAAAAUGCAAGGCAGUAUGGUUCAGAAAAUUUGACUAACAGUCAAAUAAUGAAACUGUACAAAAAAC
rnacentral:misc_RNA from 1 species